rfam:Columba livia unplaced genomic scaffold scaffold419, whole genome shotgun sequence.
UGUAAACAUCCCCGACUGGAAGCUGUUCCCGUCCAGCUUUCAGUCAGAUGUUUGCU